UCUUUGGCGCUUUCCUACUCGUUUCCGGGUAAGACGGCUGCUGGCCUGGCAGCGCGUCCCUGGUCCCGAGUCACACCUGUUUGGGUUCUGCGUCUGUGCAGGAAGGCAUCUUCAGGCCCCACUCGAGGGCUGCCUCCCCACUUUCUCACAAUACAGGUCCUGGAGGGCCCGUGCGCACCGAGAGAUUGGUUUCCUGUGAAAAAGCUUUCCAGUGGUUAUCGAGGAUGCAGCCCUGAAUAAAAUGGAACUGCCCCGUGGCACUCAGCUCGAACUGGGGAGACACACAUUAGCUCUGCCUCUUCUGGGUGGACACAUGUAUGGUGAUUUGGAUUCCAGUCCCAAUUCUGCUGGGUGACCCUGGACAAAUAAGUGGCUUCAGUUUCCUCAUCUGUAAAAUUGAGGUUGCCUUGGAGAUUUGAUGACCUCAUGCAUGAAGAGCAUGGGUCUGGCCCACGGUAAGCACUUAAAUUGCUAUUAUCGUCGUCGUGAUCAUUCCUGUGUGACCAGCAUACGGAGUAGGUAGAAACAUGGGGUCUGAAACCAGUCAGACCUGAGCUGAGUCCCUGCAUUGUUAUGUGACCUUGAUAAGAUCAGUUUACAUCCCUGAACCUCAGGUUCCUUUUCUGUAAAGGGGCUGAAUGACAGUGCCCUCCUUCUAGACCUGGUUGUGAGAAUUCAGUGAAGUCAUGAAUGCGAAGUCCAUAGGACAUAGUCAUUCAGCCUAGGACAUAGUAAUUGCUCAGUAAACAGGGCCUAAAUGCUAGACUAACUUGAAUUUUCUUUUCUGUGGCUGUUUGGGGAGCAGAAUUAUUACUUAAAAUAAGACUUUAUAUUUUUGUUAUAAAAUCAUACAUAGCCAUUGAAAAAACGUAAACAGUACAGAAUUGUUUAGUAGCAGAAUGCAAGUUGACUUACUUCCCUUUCCCCUAAUUCCUUAAGUAACCACUGUUGACUGUUGCAUCGCUUUCAGAAUUAUACACACACACACACACACACACACACACACACACGCCUGUGUGCAUGCGUGGACAUGCUCUUCUUGAGGAGGCCAAAAACGAGAACGGCUGAGAGUUCAGAUUCCAGAGUCACAUAGGCCCAGGUUCUAGUCCUACCCCUGCCACUUACUGUGAGGUGGCUGGCAAGUUCUUUAAUGAUCACUCUUGAGUCUCAGUUUCCCUUUCUAUAAGGGGAAAAGUCAUGGCAGUGCCGGUGAUGAGCAUAAGGCAGGCUGAAGGCAAAAAACAAGCUAGCACCCCCGCCCC